GCCGACGUGGUAAAUGGUAGACACGCUAUCUUGAAAAGCUGUGCGAGUUCGAGUCUCGCCGUCGGCACCA
rnacentral:tRNA from 1 species